AGGGAAUUUUCGGCAAUGGGGGGAACCCUGACCGAGCAAUGCCGCGUGAAUGAAGAAGGUCUUCGGACUGUAAAGUUCUGUUAUCGGGAAAGAAGGUAUAUACCAGGAAAUGGGUAUAUAUUGACGGUACCCAAUUAGAAAGCCCCGGCUAACUACGUGCCAGCAGCCGCGGUCAUACGUAGGGGGCGAGCGUUAUCCGGAAUUAUUGGGCGUAAAGCGUGCGUAGGCGGAAUGUUAAGUCAUUUGUAAAAGAUCUCAGCCUAACUGAGUAAGGCGAAUGAAACUGGCAAUCUUGAAUACGGUAGAGGUAAGCGGAAUUCCAUGUGUAGCGGUGGAAUGCGUAGAUAUAUGGAGGAACACCAAUGGCGAAGGCAGCUUACUGGGCCGGAAUUGACGCUGAGGCACGAAAGCGUGGGGAGCAAAC
rnacentral:rRNA from 1 species